rnacentral:rRNA from 1 species
GUGGGGAAUCUUGCGCAAUGGGCGAAAGCCUGACGCAGCCAUGCCGCGUGAAUGAUGAAGGUCUUAGGAUUGUAAAAUUCUUUCACCGGGGACGAUAAUGACGGUACCCGGAGAAGAAGCUCCGGCUAACUUCGUGCCAGCAGCCGCGGUAAUACGAAGGGGGCUAGCGUUGCUCGGAAUGACUGGGCGUAAAGGGCGCGUAGGCGGACAGCUUAGUCAGAGGUGAAAGCCCAGGGCUCAACCUUGGAAUUGCCUUUGAUACUGGCUGUCUUGAGUUUGGGAGAGGUGAGUGGAACUCCGAGUGUAGAGGUGAAAUUCGUAGAUAUUCGGAAGAACACCAGUGGCGAAGGCGACUCACUGGCCCAAUACUGACGCUGAGGCGCGAAAGCGUGGGGAGCAAACAGGAUUAGAUACCCCUGUAGUCC